UAUUCUUUGUAAUUUCCAAUCUAGUAUUUUUUAUCACGAAUAACCCUAUGGAGAACAUAAUGGCGAAUGGUACAUUCAAUCAGGAUAAUAUUCAAUUUGGACAUGUGCAUGUGGCAAAGAUUUCACAUAAGAUAGAUAUACAUAUUGAUAUUCCGCAAGAAUUGCCUUAUAAAAACACUAUACAGGCGAAAAACAUGUCUUAUUUUGGAGGAUAAUUAUUCAACCUAAUAACAAAAAUUCAAAAGGCUUUUGUG
rnacentral:lncRNA from 1 species